UUAUUAUUUAUAUUAUGAUUAUUUUUAGUUUAUUUUAUUUUUUAAUAAAAAUAAUUUUAGGUUUUUAUGUCUUAGUAUAUUUUAUGAAAUUGAUUAUUUUAAUAAUAGUUUAUGAGUAAUGUAAAUGAAUUAUGAAAUAUUAUUUUAAUUUAUUAAAGUAGAUUUAAUUUAUUGUACCUUUUGUAUCAGGGUUUAUCAAAAUUUUAGUAUAUAUUUACUUAUCUCGAUUUAGGUUGAUUUACGAGUAAAUUUUAGUUAAUGUAUUAUAGUUAUUAAAAAUUUGUUUGUAGAAGUGAAAUGUUAUUCGUUUCCUAAUUUAUCUAGUUUCUUAAGAAAAAAUUUAAUUUUUUAGGUUGUUUGUUUUUAAUUUAUUAAUUAAUUAAUAAUGAUGAUUUUUUUAUUCUUUAAGGGAUAAGCUUUAAAGAAAAUAAUACUCUAUAAUUUAUUAUAUUAUAAUAUAAUAGUAGGCUUUAAAUCAGCAAUCUUUAAGAUUACGUUUUAGUUCAUUAUUUUUGAUUUUGAUUUUUUAAUUAUUUUAGGUUAUAUAUUAAGAUUAUAAAUUUAAUUUAAAAGUUUUUGUAAUAAUGAUGAAAUUAGUAUAAUUAUUUGUUUAUAAUAAUUUAUCUGUAACUUUAUUAUAAGGAAUUAGGCAAAAUUGAUUUCCGCCUGUUUAUCAAAAACAUGUCUUCUUGAUUAAUAUUUUGAAGUUUGACCUGCUCACUGAAUUUUUAAAGAGCCGCGGUAUUUUGACCGUGCAAAGGUAGCAUAAUCAUUAGUCUCUUAAUUAGUGGCUAGAAUGAAUGGUUUGACGAGAAAUCAGCUGUCUCUUAAUAAAAUUUAGAAUUUAACUUUUAAGUUAAAAGGCUUAAAUUUUUUUUUAGGACAAGAAGACCCUAUAGAGCUUAACAUUUUAUUUUUAUAUAGUUUUUUGUUAGUUUUUUAUAUAAAAUAAAGGUGUUUUGUUGGGGUGACAUGAAAAAUAAUUAAACUUUUCAUUUUUACAUCAUUAAUUAAUGUUUAAUUGAUCCAUAAUUUAUGAUCAUAAGAUUAAGUUACCUUAGGGAUAACAGCGUAAUUGUUUUCGAGAGCUCAUAUCGACAAAGCAGAUUGCGACCUCGAUGUUGGAUUAAGAAAAAUUCUAGGUGUAGGAGUCUAGAAAUUAGGUCUGUUCGACCUUUAAAUUCUUACAUGAUCUGAGUUCAGACCGGCGUAAGCCAGGUCGGUUUCUAUCCUAAAUUAUUUUAUUUUUAUUAGUACGAAAGGACCAUAAUAAUAGAAUUAUUCUUAAAUAUUGACUAAAAUUAAUUUAUA
rnacentral:rRNA from 1 species